CCCCAUGUCCAGAAGGGAUGCCCACUUGCCCAUCCCCCGACAUCACAAUCUUUCCUUGGUGGCUGGAAUUCAAGGAGCACACAACCAAUCCCUAGGGGUUGAAGUCAGUGUCGAUCAGCUGGUGCCAGCAGACCUCAAGCCGCGUUUUCAACAGGGGCAGCUGCGAUACUGAGUUCUCCAUCGGGAACUCCACGCGAGUCUUACUUGGCUGCAACCUUCAGAGUUGGACUAGUCUUUCUUCAAAACCAACAACUAAUGCAGUUUGUGAUAUGGAACAAAGGAACCCUCUGCUGGAUCAAAAGCUGUACACAGAUGGAAGGUCUUCCAUUCACAAAAACGUAAGUUUGGAUCCAACUCAGUGAAAAGCUGCUAUGUGGCAAUGUGUGAAUGCGUGUGUGUAUCUAAUUUAAUUCCACUAUGAUCAAAGCCGAUUUGGAUAUAACGGUAUUUUUUGAAGCCUACCUCACAGACUCAACGCUAGAAAGGAACUUGGAACGCAUUUUAAAGUAGCCCUUUCAGCUUACUCCGUAUUUCUAUUUACUUGCCUGGAGAGCUGCUGGUGCCAAUUCUGGAGGGAGAAGCAGA